UGAAGAUAGGAAGCAGGUUGGG
rnacentral:misc_RNA from 1 species